ACCAGGAGUGAGCUCCCGCAGCCGCAGCAGUGCCCUGCUGGCGCCUCCCCAACCCCGCAACACGCACGCAGCCUGCACCGUCGGAUCAGUCGUCAUCCCGAGCUCGGCGCCUGGCACAGGAACCGCACAGAUCCUUGUCUGGCAUCACCCUCUGACAACAGUAGCAGCUGCACCAACCGUCUGAGUGGCCCAGAAGAUGGAAGCCUGAAGGGGAGAACAGCACCCUGAGUCCGGGCCAUCUGCAUUGGACCUCAGCUCCUGAGGCCACCUAGUGGAGAUUGCUGCCAUUUUCCUGAACAGAGAAUCCAAGUCACUCUUCACCAUCUUCAAGCCAGGGACCUGUGAGGGGGGCAGUUUCAUUGUUGCUUUUUCGUCCAAUGAGAUCACCCUUCAAUUUAGGAUUCAUGCCUGCCUUCUGGACUGCUGAGGACUAUGAGAAUGUUGAUAAGCUGAAUGCAACUAUACAGGCUGAAGCCACCCACCUGGAGGCUCCACUCUCCUCCACAGUGGCUUUGAUAAUAGUGUUGAUGAUUAUUUUCUCAUUGGUAAUGACCUCCUUUGUGACAUACUGUUUCCACAAGUGGAGGCUGAAGGGUCGCAAGCUGCAGACAGCCCAGGAAGAAUAUCAAAGAGAUCAGGAGAAAUACAUAUUUCAUAGCUUUCCUGAUCUUACUUCCUAAAAAUGCAAUAAACUGACAUGUGAAGUGCACCAUCUGCAACAAAGCAAAAUAAUAAUAUGACAAGAAGUGGAAAAAAAAACCA